CAAUCUGGUUUACGCGGACGGCGAUGUCUUAUCGUGCCACUUAGGGCGGUUGCAGAGCACAUUGCCUUCAAAUGUCGCCAAGGAGAGAAACGCGCUCCUAGCGCACACUACAGGGGAUUACUGCAUCACCUCCGCGUCCAUUGGAGAAUGUGGACGAGUUUUAUCCAACAGCACCAGCAAUUACUUCCUCUCUUCUGUAGCACGAAGAGGCAGAACUUAGUGGCACAUAUUGUCGGUUACAAGCACACCCCACGUGGCUUGAUUGUUCAUGCAAGACAGGAGAAGUAGAUUGCAUUGAAUUACCCAUUAGCAUGAAGAAGAGAUUUCAAAUGACUUCUCGGCAACUGAUCUGAUAGCAGCUCCGUGGAGGAGAAGUUUUGCGUAUUCGCUGCGCGAAAUUUGUCUUGUGGUUGUUCCGUUGUCUCAUGUAGCGACGUGUAUUCGGAACUGUUUGGGAGCACAAAUUGACGACAAAGGUCCAUAAAUUUUGGGUACGGUUUUCCCACAUCUCUAAUAAGAGGAACAGCGAAUGGCCCUGCCUUUGACCUAAUUAGCAAAUUUUUAUAUUUUAUUUUUGAAGGCAUCUUUUUUAUAUUAGAAAUUACGGAGUACACUGUAGAAUUGUUGGUUUGAACUGGCAGAUUGGAAGUCAGAGUGGGGGAUCGUCUCCAUCAAGCCAAAUACCUUUUGAUGGCUAGACCGGUUAAUGUAUUCAUCAGAAUCGUGAUAUAAUUGAGAUGAGUUCGCAUGAGCUUGGAUGCCUGCCACAUAACAUGACUAUCAAGAAAGUUUGUGAACAUUUAUGGAACUCUCAAGAAAGAAGUUCGAUUAAGGUCAACCAUCUUCAGGGGGGGGGGGGAUGAGUUGCCUGAUGAUCAAUGAACUCGAUGCUGGAAUCAGACGAUUCAGUGUAAAUUAGUGCGAGGCAUGGGCAAGUUCUACUGUCUUUUUAUUACUUUGAAACAGCCCUGAACCUUUAUGGCGCUCUCAGAUCAAGGACAUACGACAAGCACGUCUUGGAGGUACUUUUGGUGCCUGAUGUUUUCCUGUACAAAGCUUUCCAAUGCGAGAACCAGUCAAUUUUUAUAAAAAGUGGGUUUAUGAGAUUGGAAGAGCUGAACAAAUUGAAUCAAGCUUCUUCGGUGUAAGAAAGGUGAUGCAUCUCUUUCGGAGUUCACAGCACCAGAGGUUUGCAUUCUGUUCAAACAUCAACUCUAAGUGUAGCGAAAAGUUAAGGCCGGAGGUGCCGUUUCAACAAGGAUUCGUUGGUUUUCGGAUCAGGAACUGAUGUUUUGAUUCUGGUUUGUCCCAGCAAAAUGAAGAGGAUGUCUUCAAGGUUGGUCACGAACUUAUAGUACAGUAGAAUGUGAUAAGUAUUAUGCAGUUAUCAGAGGACUCGGUGAAAAUAUCAGCAGGUCCAGAAGGCCGUAUUUCUAUAUCAGCUUUAUAAUCAUCGCCGCAAAAGGCCCAAUUGUAUAUUAUUUAAUUGGUUCGGUCACAGAAUGUGAAUGCUAAUAAUCUUGCAAGAAA